AGAAUCAACGCUGGCGGCGUGCCUAACACAUGCAAGUCGCACGAGAAAGGGGAGCAAUCCCUGAGUACAGUGGCGCACGGGUGAGUAACACGUGAAUAAUCUACCUCCGAGUGGGGAAUAACUGAGAGAAAUCUUAGCUAAUACCGCAUAAUACCCACGGGUCAAAGCAGCAAUGCGCUUGGAGAGGAGUUCGCGGCAGAUUAGUUAGUUGGCGGGGGUAAUGGCCCACCAAGACGAUGAUCUGUAUCCGGCCUGAGAGGGCGCACGGACACACUGGAACUGAAACACGGUCCAGACUCCUACGGGAGGCAGCAGUGGGGAAUUUUGCGCAAUGGGGAAACCCUGACGCAGCAACGCCGCGUGGAGGAUGAGCCCCGUUGGGUGUAAACUCCUUUCGAUCGGGAAGAUAAUGACGGUACCGAUAUAAGAACGCCCGGCUAACUUCGCGCCAGCAGCCGC
rnacentral:rRNA from 1 species